ensembl:lincRNA
GGGCGAAGUAGGGGCGUGGCAGGAGCCCCGCUCCGCGGAUCCAGGUUGAAAUUCCUCCCUCCUGGAAUCCGACCGUGAGCAUUUCUGAGCGGUGGUGAGGAGGAGGCCACCAAGACACUUCCCUCCCGCUGUGCAAAGGAACGCAGGAGCCCGGCGCAGUCUAGAGAGGAAAAGCUAAGCCGGGUCUGUGCGUUGAAAGCUAUUCUGCAGCAAGUCCACCUGUGGAAACAAGUGUAGAUGUGGUAAGAGACACUGACU